rnacentral:rRNA from 1 species
UACGUAGGGGGCAAGCGUUGUCCGGAAUUAUUGGGCGUAAAGCGCGCGCAGGCGGCCUUGUAAGUCUGUUGUUUAAACUUGGGGCUCAACCCCAAGUCGCAAUGGAAACUGCAAAGCUUGAGUGCAGAAGAGGAAAGUGGAAUUCCACGUGUAGCGGUGAAAUGCGUAGAGAUGUGGAGGAACACCAGUGGCGAAGGCGACUACCUGGCCUGUUCUUGACGCUGAGGCGCGAAAGCUAGGGGAGCAAACGGG